CAAGAGCCCCUUAAAGAAGGGCCUUCGACC
rnacentral:rRNA from 1 species